UGUUUUUCCACAGCAGGGCGCAGAUUAGCAUAAGUGUCACAUUCUGUGGGCCUGCCCGCUCAUUUCUCAGGCGUUGCAUAUGCCGGGGAUUUCUCAACUGGAUAAUAAGAGGAAUAUGGUCUACACAUGCGGAGCAGGCACCGUGUUUUCUGCAGGCAGUGUGGAAUAAAUCUCACCUGGAGCCACUUACAAAUAACGACUGUGAAGAAGCAAGCUCCACAGAAGACAGCGUAACUAACUGCAGAAGGAGGCAAAGAAGACUGCUAAAAACCCGCUAGAGCUGGGAGCCACUGCACUCAGAAAGCAAAGGCCAUUCAAUAUGAGUAUGUACUUCUGAGAAGAGUGGGGAGCAAACUUCUCCGCAAGCACUGUGGAGGUUCAGUUACUUAACAGGCAUUCAUUGAGAGCAUCCUCAGGAGCAAGUGUCCACUUGUCAUCUUCCAAAAUCACAGGCAAGAGAUUGCACUGGGACCUUCUCAACCCUCCAUGGCACUGUCAAAUCUGUCCACACGCUUGCCUUUCUCGUGACCUGGGUGGAACCAUCUGGAGGCCCGGGAGAGCGCACACUCUGCAAGUGCCUGGGAAGCACAGCUGCAGUGGCCCAAGGGGAAUGUGACUCCAAACUGCUCGGUGAGGACCUGACUCAUCUCACCCUGAGUUUCUACUCCCCAGGGAAGUGUUGCCCCAGUAGGCUUCAACAAAAAGAGGCCACAGCCGGACUCAGAGAACCCAGUUAGUCGACCUCUUCCUUUAAAUCCUCCAACGUAUUCCUAAUGACUUCUGUAAGAUCUGUCUUCAAGUCAGCACGCGUCCUCCUGCCUUCUCCUUCUGUCUGUCGCCUUUCACCCCUUGACCGUGGAUCGGAUUUUCUCUUCA